rnacentral:misc_RNA from 1 species
GGAAUCUUCCGCAAUGGGCGAAAGCCUGACGGAGCAACGCCGCGUGAGUGAUGAAGGUUUUCGGAUCGUAAAGCUCUGUUGCCAAGGAAGAACGUCUUCUAGAGUAACUGAUAGGAGAGUGACGGUACUUGAGAAGAAAGCCCCGGCUAACUACGUGCCAGCAGCCGCGGUAAUACGUAGGGGGCAAGCGUUGUCCGGAAUUAUUGGGCGUAAAGCGCGCGCAGGCGGUUCUUUAAGUCUGGUGUUUAAACCCGAGGCUCAACUUCGGGUCGCACUGGAAACUGGGGGACUUGAGUGCAGAAGAGGAGAGUGGAAUUCCACGUGUAGCGGUGAAAUGCGUAGAUAUGUGGAGGAACACCAGUGGCGAAGGCGACUCUCUGGGCUGUAACUGACGCUGAGGCGCGAAAGCGUGGGGAGCAAACAGGA